rnacentral:rRNA from 1 species
GAUGAACGCUGGCGGCGUGCUUAACACAUGCAAGUCGAACGAAGCAUUUGCGACAGAUUUUUUCGGAAUGAAGUUGCUUAUGACUGAGUGGCGGACGGGUGAGUAACGCGUGGGUAACCUGCCUUGUACUGGGGGAUAGCAGCUGGAAACGGCUGGUAAUACCGCAUAAGCGCACAAUGUUGCAUGACAUGGUGUGAAAAACUCCGGUGGUAUAAGAUGGACCCGCGUCUGAUUAGCUAGUUGGUGAGAUAACAGCCCACCAAGGCGACGAUCAGUAGCCGACCUGAGAGGGUGACCGGCCACAUUGGGACUGAGACACGGCCCAGACUCCUACGGGAGGGAGCAGUGGGGAAUAUUGCACAAUGGAGGAAACUCUGAUGCAGCGACGCCGCGUGAGUGAAGAAGUAAUUCGUUAUGUAAAGCUCUAUCAGCAGGGAAGAUAGUGACGGUACCUGACUAAGAAGCUCCGGCUAAAUACGUG